rnacentral:sRNA from 1 species
CGCAGCGAGAGAACGUUGCGUCAGCAACGGCCCGCAGGGCGAGCCACGCAGUGGCGAGUCAUCCUCUAUCACCGACCA